GCACUGGUGAGGAGUCCCACAAUAGGACGAAACGGCCGUCCAGUGC
rfam:Schistosoma mattheei strain Denwood, Zambia genome assembly, scaffold: SMTD_scaffold0004282